UACGUAGGGUGCAAGCGUUGUCCGGAUUUAUUGGGCGUAAAGAGCGUGUAGGCGGCCAUGUAGGUCCGUUGUGAAAACUCGAGGCUCAACCUCGAGACGCCGAUGGAAACCAUGUGGCUAGAGUCCGGAAGAGGAGAGUGGAAUUCCUGGUGUAGCGGUGAAAUGCGCAGAUAUCAGGAAGAACACCCGUGGCUAAGGCGGCUCUCUAGUACGGUACUGACGCUGAGACGCGAAAGCGUGGGGGAGCGAACAGG
rnacentral:rRNA from 1 species